AGAAACAGAACCAGAGCUAUUAACCCCUUCAUACCACAGUUGGAGGAAAACAGGACAGAAGAAAGUGCUCACAAAGAGGCUGCCGUGCACUAUAACCUGAUGACUUGUGUGGGCCAAAGUAGACAUAAACCAACUCUCUCUGGACACCUGAGCAAGCACAGGUUACGACCAUGGAGUCAUUCCUAUACAAGACUAGCCUCUGAGCUGAACUGCCACGUCUUCACCAGCCAGCUGUGCCAGCUUGCAAAAGAUCACCACAGCUGGACUGGUUGGUUAUUGAUGUUAUCUCCUAGAAGAUACGGAGUGCUGAAGAAGGAAGGAUGGGGAAGGCCAGGGGUAUCCAGCAACUCUUCCCAACAAGUUGUAUGCAGUUGUGCAUGUGGCCUCAGUGAGGGGCUAGAGUAUAUAGGAGGGAAAGGGCUAGGAGACAGGGCUCCUUAUACAUAGCCAUGGGGCAGUCACCAUCCAUGCUGAGUGCAAACCUUACAGUGUGAGUAAAGGUCACUCAUGAUCCUUCUUAACAACCCUUUACCCAUUGUUUGGUAAGUUUAAUAUUGCUUCCUCAGAGUGAGCUGUGAUCAUUUGCAGUUGGAACCUUAGGAGGACAGGUAGACAUUCUUUCAUUUUCUGCCAGGGAAAGAAUCUAGGAAAAGUUAUAUAAUCACUCAACUGCACAUUCCUCAAGUAACAUGCCCUACAUUAUUGUGAAUAGCUACUAGAAGGGAAGAGAGUUGAAUUUUUACCAUAGGAAAACAUCUCUUAUGAACAGCACAGCAACUUCUCUUAAGAUAGUAUUAACUGUUCCCUCUUAAGAAGUACAGUUGAAAAGGCAUGGUUACAAAAGAACUGCAAAGUCACAACAGCAACAGCAGCAGCAACAACAAUACAACCAUACUUGAUAAACACUACUUUCCCCUAUCACUUUUAAUAAGAAACAGGCUGCUCUUUCUAGCAGUUAAGCCUUUCAUCAUCUGUGUAGAUAUUAGCAUAAUGAAAACUUUCUUUACCGAGGCCUUAGUUGUGUUGGCUUUCCAUAGUAUCUUCCAUACAAUGGGUGUCUAGCAUGUAUUUGAUGCAUGAAUAGCUAAAGGCAUUAAUGAGUUUGAAAAGCUAGACUUCUUAGAGGUCUUCUGAACAGAGUUCUUAAACUGCUUUGACACUCUUCUUUAACACUGCUGUUAGAAGCAGCUAUUUCUUAGGCUAUCUGUUGACCUUGAAGGUUGACAAGUAAACAGUACCCAUAGACACACCCUCACAGGCAUGACCUAGACUAGACUAUUGCAUUGCAUUCUGGUCAUUUUAUGUAGAGGUGCCGCUCUGUGUGGAGUAAGAAUGAAACAUAAAGCAAAUUCCUUCCCUCAUUAUUGAUGACUAUAAUGUCUUUUACCAUUAUUAGUCCAGUCACCACAGUGUCUGAUAGAUAUGCUAUAUUAAGAGUAACUUUAAAAAUUGUGAGGCAAAAAAAUUAGGCUAUACAUACUCUGUUGUAAGUUAACUUUUCUAGUACAAUAAUGAUUCACUUGGUAUGUCUAACUAUGUGUGUGACACCCACAGUAAUGGCAUCAGCAUCACAACAUCUUAAAUUGUGCUCUUUACACAAAUAAAACCCUCUGUGCUCAUC
rnacentral:lncRNA from 1 species